UACGAAGGGGGCUAGCGUUGUUCGGAAUUACUGGGCGUAAAGCGCACGUAGGCGGAAUGUUAAGUCAGGGGUGAAAUCCCGGGGCUCAACCCCGGAACUGCCUUUGAUACUGGCAUUCUCGAGUCCGGAAGAGGUGAGUGGAAUUCCGAGUGUAGAGGUGAAAUUCGUAGAUAUUCGGAGGAACACCCGUGGCGAAGGCGGUUCUCUGGGACGGUACUGACGCUGAGACGCGAAAGCGUGGGGAGCGAACAGG
rnacentral:rRNA from 1 species